GCGCACGUGGUGAAAUUGGUAGACACGCUACUUUGAGGGGGUAGUUUCCGUAAGGAUGUGCGAGUUCGAGUCUCGCCGUGCGCACAA
rnacentral:tRNA from 1 species